AUACGGAGGAUCCGAGCGUUAUCCGGAUUUAUUGGGUUUAAAGGGUGCGCAGGCGGCCAUUUAAGUCAGCGGUUAAAUCGUGGGGCUCAACCCCAUUCUGCCGUUGAUACUGGGUGGCUUGAUUGCGGUCGAGGUUGGCGGAAUUCGUUGUGUAGCGGUGAAAUGCAUAGAUAUGACGAAGAACACCGAUUGCGUAGGCAGCUGACCAGAUCGCAAAUGACGCUCAUGCACGAAAGUGCGGGGAUCGAACAGGAUUAGAUACCCUGGUAGUCCGCACAGUAAACGAUGAAUACUUGUUUUCGGCGAUAUAAUGUCGGAGGCAAAGCGAAAGCGAUAAGUAUUCCACCUGGGGAGUACGCCGGCAACGGUGAAACUCAAAUGAAUUGACGG
rnacentral:rRNA from 1 species